AUGCCUGGCCUGGCGACUGGCUCCACCUGUGGGCCUGACAAGCCAGCAGUUAUAAGGGCUGGGAGCCAGUAUGAAGGGGGGCUGCCAGGAGAUUGGACAGUCUCCUGGCUGCAGGCUGACUGCUAGCCAAAGAGGGAACUAACCCCUCAGGUCCCCCUAUUGAAGGUCUUCCUCAAGCAACAGUAAGGCAGAGGGGUGAGGAGGAAUGUGUUUAUAAAACUAUAAAAAUUGGCAGGGGACUUGAGGAACGGAUAAAAGGCCAAAGCCUUCCUGAUGUCCAGAAAAUGCAGUCUUCUUUCCUCUUCUGAGGCAUGUGGUUUAGGAAAAAAUACAGGAAUGAUGCAGUAAAAGGAGCUGAGGACAUAAAAGAUUCCGACAUAGACCAUGUGGUGAUAAGAAGCAACUAGAGAGGCAAUGGCCCUCAGUUGAAAGCAUGUGGACAGCUAUGGCACAUGUGUGGGUCAAUGUACAUUGCUUGCAAAAAAUUCCAGGCUCAGGUGCAUGGUGUGCAUGUGUAUCCCACAUGUGGAAUACACAAAGGGACUUCAGUCGAAAAAGAAGAAUUUUUAUGAUUGGUAUCUUUCAGUAUAGUUUUUUAUUGCACACUUUGUCAUUUAUAUCGAGUUACAAAUGAAUUCUGUAACUAUUCCCUCCACCCCGCGCUGUCCUGGCCAUAUCAGAUUACUAGAAAAUAUAGAAAGACAAUAUCAAAAUAUGUUGGGAAGGAUGCUAAAGCCUUGUGCUUCUCUGUGUAUCCCCUCAUCGUACCAAAUAUGCCCUUUCCCACAUCACAUCUCCUACCCUUCUCCUAAGCACACUUGUCAUAAGCUUCUCUGGCAUUGGUCACUUCUUUUGUCCAUACUGUUUCCUCUAUUGUGUUUUGAGUCUUUUUCCUGUCACACACAUCUUUCCCUCUCCUGCACUUUCCUAUUUAAUCUGUCUUGUUUGGUUUCUUCAUUCUCAUUCAUUCAUACUUGAGCUUUUUGUUUGUUUUUCUUUCUUCAACCCCCCCCCUGUUCCGUGACUGACUCCCUCUAACAGCAUAUCUUUGUCCCCACCAGGUCUCCUGGUUGCUUCUCAUUCUCACCCAACCACACUCCUAACUCCUGGCUGCUACACUUCCCAAUCUGUGAUUCCCUACCUAUAUCCUCUUUUGUUACUCCAGUCACCUAAUCAGCAGAGCAGAACAACUAAAUUAAUCUAACCAGAGGUGAAGCAUGAGAGUAGCAAGAACUUCAGAGCUAAUUAAAUUUACAUCCAAUCUCCACCUGCUCUGCUCCUCUCUUAUAGGAUUAGGAUAAUGAAAUUAAAUAGCUAGCCUGAGGAGAUAGGGCCAAGAAACAUAUUGGCAAAGUCCUAAUAGUAAUGCCAUAUUUUUCGUUGUUGCUAUUAAAUGUUUUCCUUUCCUGUUAUCUGUUUCGGUGGGAAGAUGUCAAGAAAGAAUUUUCAAUGAUAUGUGAUCAAGACUUGAUGACUGUCUUUCUCUCAGAAUGGAAG